GUGGCAUGGCUCAAGUGGUAGAGCCCUUGCCUAACAAGCAUGAAGACCUGAGUUCAAACCCCAGGACCACA
rnacentral:tRNA from 1 species